rnacentral:snRNA from 1 species
AGAUGUGAAGUGGUUUGGCUACAACACUAACUUUCCAUGAUUUCUAGAGUGGAUUCAACUGGUCUGGCUGGGGAGGUGGGGGUUCCCAUCCUCCUCACUUGUCUUUGCUUCAACUUAAAUUCAACUUUCAGGAUAAAACAUCCCCAGUGCUCCUCUUCUGGGACUGAUGAAAAACCAAACAAGUCAUCUGGGGAAACAGUUGGAAUCUAGACAUUUACAGCAGGAGGCAGUUUGUCAUAU